rnacentral:rRNA from 1 species
UGGGGGAGUAGCCUUUCGAAAGGAAGAUUAAUACCGCAUAAGAUUGUAGUAUCGCAUGAUAUAGCAAUUAAAGGAGCAAUUCGCUAUAAGAUGGACCCGCGUCGCAUUAGCUAGUUGGUGAGGUAAUGGCUCACCAAGGCGACGAUGCGUAGCCGACCUGAGAGGGUGAACGGCCACCAUUGGGACUGAGACACGGCCCAGACUCCUACGGGAGGCAGCAUG